ACUCCUACGGGAGGCAGCAGUGGGGAAUAUUGCACAAUGGGCGCAAGCCUGAUGCAGCAACGCCGCGUGAGCGAAGAAGGUCUUCGGAUCGUAAAGCUCUUUUCUUAGGGAAGAAAACUGACGGUACCUAAGGAAUAAGCACCGGCUAAAUACGUGCCAGCAGCCGCGGUAAUACGUAUGGUGCAAGCGUUAUCCGGAAUCACUGGGCGUAAAGGGGUGCGUAGGCGGUUUUGCAAGUCAGAAGUGAAAGGCUACGGCUCAACCGUAGUAAGCUUUUGAAACUGCAAGACUAGAGUGCAGGAGAGGAAAGUGGAAUUCCUAGUGUAGAGGUGAAAUUCGUAGAGAUUUGUAGGAAUGCCGAUGACGAAGGUAGCUUACUGGACAAAU
rnacentral:rRNA from 1 species